AUUGAACGCUGGCGGCAGGCUUAACACAUGCAAGUCGAACGAGUGGCGGACGGGUGAGUAAUGUCUGGGAAACUGGCUGAUGGAGGGGGAUAACUACGGGAAACUGUAGCUAAUACCGCAUACCAUCGGAUGUGCCCAGAUGGGAUUAGCUAGUAGGGGGGGGAACGGCUCACCUAGGCGACGAUCCCGAGCUGGUCUGAGAGGAUUACCAGCCACACUGGAACUGAGAAACGGUCCAGAUUCCUACGGGAGGCAGCAGUGGGGAAUAUUGCACAAUGGGCGCAAGCCUGAUGCAGCCAUGCCGCGUGUGUGAAGAAGGCCUUCGGGUUGUAAAGGACUUUCAGCGAGGAGGCGUUACUCGCAGAAGAAGCACCGGCUAACUCCGUGCCAGCAGCCGCGGUAAUUC
rnacentral:rRNA from 1 species